CUCAGGAGGCAGCUCUCUCGGAAUAUCUCCACCAUGGCCUGGGCUCUGCUCCUCCUCACCCUCCUCACUCAGGGCACAGGAUCCUGGGCUCAGUCUGCCCUGACUCAGCCUCCCUCCGUGUCCGGGUCUCCUGGACAGUCAGUCACCAUCUCCUGCACUGGAACCAGCAGUGACGUUGGUAGUUAUAACCGUGUCUCCUGGUACCAGCAGCCCCCAGGCACAGCCCCCAAACUCAUGAUUUAUGAGGUCAGUAAUCGGCCCUCAGGGGUCCCUGAUCGCUUCUCUGGGUCCAAGUCUGGCAACACGGCCUCCCUGACCAUCUCUGGGCUCCAGGCUGAGGACGAGGCUGAUUAUUACUGCAGCUUAUAUACAAGCAGCAUCACUGUGUUAUGUCUUCGGAACUGGGACCAAGGUCACCGUCCUAGCCCAAGGCCAACCCCACUGUCACUCUGUUCCCGCCCUCCUCUGAGGAGCUCCAAGCCAACAAGGCCACACUAGUGUGUCUGAUCAGUGACUUCUACCCGGGAGCUGUGACAGUGGCCUGGAAGGCAGAUGGCAGCCCCGUCAAGGCGGGAGUGGAGACCACCAAACCCUCCAAACAGAGCAACAACAAGUACGCGGCCAGCAGCUACCUGAGCCUGACGCCCGAGCAGUGGAAGUCCCACAGAAGCUACAGCUGCCAGGUCACGCAUGAAGGGAGCACCGUGGAGAAGACAGUGGCCCCUACAGAAUGUUCAUAGGUUCCCAACUCUAACCCCACCCACGGGAGCCUGGAGCUGCAGGAUCCCAGGGGAGGGGUCUCUCUCCCCAUCCCAAGUCAUCCAGCCCUUCUCCCUGCACUCAUGAAACCCCAAUAAAUAUCCUCAUUGACA
rnacentral:lncRNA from 1 species